ensembl:rRNA 5S_rRNA 5S ribosomal RNA
ACUUUCGGCCAUACCACCCUGAGCACGCCCGAUCUCGUCUGAUCUCGGAAGUUAAGUAGGAUUGGGCUUGGUUAGUACUUGGAUGAGAGACCGCUUGGGAAUACCAGGUGCUGUAAGCU